GGUUUUUAAGCUCUAUUGAGAGAAGCCAAAUCAAGAAAUCUAUCUAAUAGUCUUUACAUACAUGGAUCUGGAACUGACACAAGGUUUCACACGGCUAAUGCUUACUAUGUAUCAAUAUACUCUGAUAUUUUCUCUUCUGCUUUUUUUUUUUUUCUUAAUGGCUGGUCACAGUCCACUAAACUGAUUUCACAACCUGCUAAUGGAUGGCAACUGGCAGCUUGAAAAACAGUGAUGUAAUCUAGUAUGCCCACAUGACAGGUCAGAAAGCUGAGGCCCUGAAAUGGGAAGCCAUCUCCCCUUCAUGAAAGGGGAAGUCACGGAGUUGAAGCAGAUCUUAGCCCAGAAGCCGGGUCUCAGAUCCUGGUCACCGACAGGCUAUGUUAUGUGCACUUAUGUAGGAGCUCAGCUCUGGCAGCAGGACAUGGUGGAAAGGGCACUGCUGAGACCUAGCUGGCUCUGCGAUGGAUUCACUGUGUUUCUGAGAUGUGCUUCUUUGCUGACACUGCUGACAGCUGGAUACAGCUACACUGAGAAACACGAGACCCGAGUCCUGUCUGCUUUGGCUUUACGGGUGGCGACGGAUGUGUAAAAGAAACGCAAACACAAACAAGGCAAAGCUUGUCCUCUGCCUAAGGAGAUGCGAUGUCCAGCUGCACUGAACACCCUGCCCAUUAUUCAGAGCUACAUUCCAAUGAUGUUCUACCCCAAGAAUAUGCUAGAGGGACCCAACCACCACUGAGAAAGAGCCGCCUCUGGCUAGCACCCUAAAAUAGGAAGUCUGGCCUUCAGAGCCCCCAAGGCAGGCAGCUGUCCUGGCCGGACACUCUGGCUUGGCAGGCUGGCCCAGGGGAAGCACAGGCUUCUGGCAAGGACCUGAUGGAGAAGAUGCCAUG
rnacentral:lncRNA from 1 species